UUAAUAAAAUACAAAUCAGGAAGUCUGAAGUGAGCUACAUUGCGCAAAUCGAGCAUAAUUUCUUGUUGAACGAGCACUAGGUAGAUAAAAUUUGCUGCGUAUUUUUAUUUUGAUUGGUCGCAAAAUUUGAUGCUUCAAGAAGCCGCAACUGCGCAUGCGCUAAGAGAUGCCAUUUUCUGAUACACAUAUCGUUUGGGCGGAAAUUGCAAAUAGUCUAACAGUUUACGCGGAAUAAGAUGCCUAAGAGAACAGUGAGAGGGGGAAAGUAAGCGAAAUCGUUGGAGUGCGACAAGGUCGUGUUAAACGUUGCACGUCGCGGUUUACAAAUCGCGAAACGUGGUCGAGUAAGUUCCGACAAUCGUCACCAAGGAAAAACUAUUGUAGCUGACCGUACUCAACAGGGGUAUCUAAAUAUGUAUCAAGAUCGCCGCAAAGAAGCGAUAAGAGAUGAUUCAUUCGUGUAACUCUUACGAUAACGGCUUGCGGCAAACAAACGUGUCUGUGAUGUGUAGAAGAUCGUGUUAAGAAGAUCAAGUUGUGAAACUUGUAAGAUCCACGACCAAAGAAAAUAAUGUAAUUUGAAACAAGUACGGUGUAAAAGUGAAAGCGAGAGUGGACAAGAUCAAAGUCAUUAAAAUCCCAUAAUAUUCUUACGAUGAAAAAAACGAAUACAUUAGACAUUCCUAAGCGUGUCUAUAAGCUGACAUUCCUGAAUCGCAAUACAAACUGAACAGAACAAGAUAUUCAAUAGAAAAUUAUAAUCUUCUAAAAUGUAACACAUUUUUAUUGAAUUACGCAGCCGUUUAUAUUAAAAAGGAAGAAAAAGAAAUACGAAAAUGAAGUAUGUUUGAACAACAAAAAUUUAUUGAACUGCGUAUGAAAGAUGUCUGUGAAUGUGUACGAUUUAAUUUUUGAAGCUUGCAGGAAAUGAUUAAAGAACGG